rnacentral:rRNA from 1 species
UACGAAGGGUGCAAACGUUGCUCGGAAUUAUUGGGCGUAAAGCGCACGUAGGCGGCUUUGCAAGUCGGAUGUGAAAUCCCUCGGCUCAACCAAGGAAGUGCAUCCGAAACUGCAGAGCUUGAGUACCAAAGAGGAUCGCGGAAUUCCCGGUGUAGAGGUGAAAUUCGUAGAUAUCUGGAGGAACACCGGUGGCGAAGGCGGCAUCCUGGACCAACACUGACGCUGAGUGAGCGAAAGCCAGGGGAGCAAACGGG